rnacentral:rRNA from 1 species
UAUAAGCGGAUUGUUGCUGGCCUUCCGAGGCAUGUGCACGCCCUGCUCAUCCACUCUACACCUGUGCACUUACUGUAGGUUGGCGUGGGUUUCUAGCCUCCGGGUUGGAAGCAUUCUGCCGGCCUAUGUACACUACAAACUCUUAAAGUAUCAGAAUGUAAACGCGUCUAACGCAUCUUAAUACAACUUUCAGCAACGGAUCUCUUGGCUCUCGCAUCGAUGAAGAACGCAGCGAAAUGCGAUAAGUAAUGUGAAUUGCAGAAUUCAGUGAAUCAUCGAAUCUUUGAACGCACCUUGCGCUCCUUGGUAUUCCGAGGAGCAUGCCUGUUUGAGUGUCAUGAAAUUCUCAACCCAUAAAUCCUUGUGAUCUAUGGGCUUGGAUUUGGAGGCUUGCUGGCCCUAGCGGUCGGCUCCUCUUGAAUGCAUUAGCUUGAUUCCGUGCGGAUCGGCUCUCAGUGUGAUAAUUGUCUACGCUGUGACCGUGAAGCGUUUUGGCAAGCUUCUAACCGUCCAUUAGGACAAUUUUAUAACAUCUGACCUCAAAUCAGGUAGGACUACCCGCUGAACUUAAGCAUAUCAAA